rnacentral:lncRNA from 1 species
CCGUGGUUGAGUGGCGGUUGGGGCCCGGGACGCGCAUGCACCAUUUGGCCGGGGUUUUUUCGAGGCCGUGUGUGGGUGCCUUCAAUUUCUCGACUGUCGGCCUGGCAGCGGUGGGGUGUUUGUGUGUCUUGAUGAGUGCGAGGGGUCGGGGACGGGCUGGGUCCCUAGUGCUCCUGUGCUUCCACAUUUGCGGGAGGGCACUAUUUUUUACUAAUUUGUCAACUGCUGCUGCAGGCCUCCUUGUUGGGUCUUCUUUUGUGCGGAGCGGUUGUGUUUUUUCGAUGUGGUCUGGCAGGGGAUGAUC